UAUUUCAGACUGAUCUGCGUUUCCAGAGUCAUGCUGUCCUGGCUCUGCAGGAGGCUGCUGAGGCCUACUUGGUGGGUCUAUUUGAGGACACUAACCUUUGUGCCAUUCACGCCAAGCGUGUGACAAUUAUGCCCAAGGACAUUCAACUUGCCAGACGAAUUAGGGGCGAGCGUGCUUAAUAUGAUCAACUCUAGCUAGUAGCAUUGUUUGUCCUUUCUUGCUCUUCUUUGUUAGACAUAAAGGCAGUAACUAAAUCUAGUAGUAGGGCUUGUUGCUUUGAAUUUGUUGGUGGCUGGUGGUGUGCUGUAAUUUGUUGGUGUUUUUUUGGAGAAGGGGAAAAACAUGAUAUUUUGUUUGGAUCUCUAAUGUUUUGUUGUCACACCACUGGUGUCGAACAAUGUUCAGUGUUUUCUUCUAAUGGUUAGUUCAAGUUGUUGUGGAUAAAUGAUUAUACUGUGCUCUUCGUAAACAUAGGAUGCAUUUGUACCAUUUAAAUGGAUGCUUGGAUUUGGGUAGUGAAAGCGUGGACUAGGUUUUCUGAUGCAUCUGUUGUAGUCACUAUUCUGAGAUUAUGAGAUACUUGCAUCUGAUCCACUUGUAGGAUUACACUACACAAGAUAUGUUAUUUUUAUUGUUGUUAUUUUUUAUUUUUAACAUUAGUAUGCCUUUAUAAUCAUAUAAUCGUUAUCAUAUAAUCAUGAUGGAUAAGGAGUUUGGGCUCAAGGAUGGCAUUGGUCCGUCUGAAGAUGCAAGAAUAGAGCCAACUAGGAAAAGCAAAAGAACUAAAAGACUACCACAAAGGCUUUCGGGCUUUAAAUGAGAUCCGGGUUAACGAAGUGAAAUGAGAAUAUUAGCGAGGGUACACGAAUGGUUAAAUGGCCAAAUAGUAGAACUAAUGUGGGAGGCUGAAUAUUGUUAAAAGCUUCCCCUCUCGUGUCUCGCUCUCCCACGCUAUUUCUCUCUGUGGCUAUGUCUUUUCAUCCCUUUCUUUUUUGUUACUAUCCUUAGUUAUUGUUACUUUUGAGUGUAAUUCCUUUGUUAUUGUAUCAAUAUAUUAAUGUCCCCAUCCCCUUUCUUUCUUUUUGUAAUCUUCACUUUCCUCUAUCCCCGUUCUCACUAUCUUAUCUUGUACUGAGUUCUGUAAUGUAUUAGUAAUCAAAUCACUUUUCUUAGACUAUUGUUGUUGGGGGUUCAUAACAUUGGUGCUUUCAUUAAGAGUAAUCCAUGGUAGAUUCCUCUGAGGCAUUAGUUAGUUUAGAUCGAUUCACUAGUGAGAAUCCAACGGGCUGGAUUUGUCAGGCGGAGUGGUACUUCAACUACCAUGGAUUACUCUCAAUGGUGAGAAUUGAUCUUUGAUUAAUUGAAACUCAAUACAUGGAAUUAGAGAAUAACAAGAUGGAAAUUAACAUAACUAAGAUAGGGACAGAAAAAAAGGGAUGGAAAGACAGAGCCACAGAAGAAAUAGUCGAGGGAGAGAGACCACAAAGAGAAAGUUUCUACAAAAAUUCAGCCUCCCACAUUAGUGCUACUACUUGGCCAUUUAACCAUUCGUGUGCCCUCGCUAAUAUUCUCAUUCCAAUGUACCCAAUUCAUUAACCCGGAUCCCAUAUAAAACCCGAAAGCCUUUGUGGUGAUCUUUUAGUUCUUUUGCUUUUCCUAGUUGGCCCAAUUCUUGCAUCUUCAGACGACCCAAUGCCAUCCUUGAGCCCAAACUCCUUAUCCUUCAUGACAUUAUCCCCAUCCUCAAUUAGAACCUUGUCCUCAAGGUUUGAGUAGAGCAACAAUGGUAACAUAAGGGAGAAGCUGUAAAGACUCAAUUGUGUGUCAAACAACCAAAUAUCCUCAGUUAACAAAUUAUCUUGAUAAAAGUUGUAGAUCUCUUCAAGCUCAAAUUUUCCUUUAAUAACAGAAUGCAUUACAUGAGCUACUUUGAUGCUUGAAUAUGUUUUUCUCCUAGUGCAAGCCAAACAAUUGAGCUAUCUAUUCCUUCUUUAGUGUGUUUAAAAAUCAUUCUUGGCAUCAAGAAUGCCAGAACCCUUGCCACUAAUUGUUGUUGCUCAUGGUUACUCUGCCUUCUACACCACACAAAUACUGAAGAGCGAGAACAUAGAAGGAAACACAAUUUAUGAAUGUGCGGUGAAAUUGAUUCCUCUAAAGAGUUUCUCAAGUUAUUUCUUUGGCUAAGAGAUUAAGCAACUCUUUCUCCAAUUGCAUAAUAUGAUAAUGGCAUGUAUCAUCUCGAUUAAGGUUCCACCAAAUAAGUUAUCAUCUGUAGAAUGUGGCACAACCCUCAAAGAAAUAAUCCAUAGCCGCGCUAAUUGAACUAGCAAAAUGCCACCUCUAGGAUUAAAAAACUAAGACAUUUUACGAAAUUGUUGUUCAAAUCCAUAAGUCAAGCAGAUAGAAGCACCACCACUUCUAAUUGCCUUCAGAAAUACACCACUAAUCCUUAAACUCUCAUUUGCAUUUGCAACUAAUACACUGUUCUUAUGUCUAGCUGAAACAUAAUACCUUGGCGCUAUGAGCCACAUAAUAAUAUUGCUCCACAUACAUUGCAGUUCAUCAGUCUUUCCAUGCCACUUAGAACCCACAUCUAAACUCUCUGGUGCAAGUCCAAAAGUAGCAAAUACACAUUUUAAAUGGAAUGUCGGAACACUAUAAUACCUUACUCCAAGCCUUUUGUUAAAACAAGUGGCUGUCAAAAGGACACUAACCUUUGUGCACAAAGAGAAGUUGCAGCAAUGUACCUCUCGAAACUUUCAUCAAACAGUUGGACAACGUUGCUCGCAAUAGCUAUAGCUUCUUCAUUCGGUAUUUUUAUUGGAGGUUUUGGAGCAUUGUCAUCACUAGUUAGCCUGGCCUCCAAAUCAGCAGUAGGUGAGCAGUCAAAUCCAUCAGAAGAAUUGAAGCUACUGCUCAGAGGAGCAAAGGCAGGCCGCUGGGCUUUAUGAGGGACCAAAAUUUCAAAAUGAGUCUGUGAGAGAUAGGCCAGACGCUCCACCGAAUCUGCGAAAGCCCGUUUCUGAAAGCGCAUAACCAAUUUCUCAGUAAAAUGUUUCCAAUCAAAGAACUGGUCAUUGCGGUAAAGCCAGUCGAACCAAGCGAGUGCAUCGCCGCCGAGGUAGAAUGAAGCGAGAGAUAGCCAAUAGUCCUUGGGGAUACGACAAAAGUUGAAGUACCACUCCGCCUGACAAAUCCAGCCCGCUAGAUUCCCACCGAUGAAUCGAUCUAAUCUGGCCACUACCUCGGAGGAAUCUACCAUGGAUUACUCUCAAUGAAAGCACCAAUGUUAUGAAUUUAACAAACAACACAAUUGCAAAUAGGAACUGAGAAUUGAUCUUUGAUUAAUUGAAACUCAAUACAUGGAAUUAGGGAAUAACAAGAUGGAAAUUAACAUAACUAAGAUAGGAACAGAAAGAAAGGGAUGAGAAGACAAAGUCACAGAAGAAAUAAUCGAGGAAGAGAGACCACAGAGAGAAAGUUUCUACAAAACUUCAGCCUCCCACAUUAAUGCUACUAUUUGGCCAUUUAACCAUUCGUGUGCCCUCGCUAAUAUUCUCAUUUCAAUGUACCCAAUUCAUUAAUCCGGAUCCCAUAUAAAGCCCAAAAGACUUUGUGGUGGUCUUUUAGUUCCUUUGCUUUUCCCAAUGCCUUGUUUGAGCCCAAACUCCUUAUCCAUUGUGACACGAUACCCCCACAACACGUUAUAUAUAUAAUCUUUAACCUCCACUCUUUUAGAACUUUUUUAUUUACAAAACAAAAAGAGCGAAGAAGAAUAAAAAAAGAAGAUUUCAUCAGAGGUUAGUCAGCUGUUUUCCUGCUUAUAUUUUUGAAUUUCUCUUGUAUAUAUGAUAUAUGAAGAAAUUGAUCGGUUAUAUUUUCGUUUUUUUCUGUGGAAAAUUUAGGGUUAGGGUUUCUGACUAUCUUCUAAGUUAGAAUUGUAGGUGUAGCUGCAUAAAGUUAGGGUUUUAACGGAAUGUUUGAUUUCUAUAAUAUUUAGGGAUUUAACUCUUCUACUUUGGUUCCUAUAAUAGUUUCCGAGUUUGCUGUUCUAUUUUAGGGAUUUUAAUUGCUCCUUUUUUUUGUUGUGAAAUAGAGACUGCUUGGGUUGGACUCAACCCUUCUUAUCCUGUUGCUAAUUUGAAUAUGUUUUUCUUUGAUUUUUUGAAUUUCCUAGAAUAUUAGGACUAGUCAGCUACUUUUGAUACUCAUGCUGUUUUAACGUAUUUGGAGCAAUCAAAGAAGAAUAGGAGGUUUAUCUUCAACUGCAAAGUUGAAAUCUUCUAUCGUUUUUUUAAUUCUUUAUUUUGUGAAAUCCUUGGUGUGUGUUUUCAUGUAUUAGUGCGAAAUAUAGUCUCUCAAGUUUUGUGCUAAUAAGAGAUGCUAGUGUGAAGCAGCACAUUAUUUUGGUGCUAAUUUCAACAUGGAAUUCUGUUGUUCUGAACAUAUUUGGAAAAAAUAAUUUCCAAAGUAAAAGAUCAUAUAACUCACUCCAUUUAGCUAUUGCUAUGUCAUUCUUUUUGGCAUAGUGAGUACAUUAAUAUUGCAUGAAGCAUUCUUAUGUUCUUCAAAUUUGCACAAUCUGGGUGUUGACUCUGUUUAUGAUACCACUCUUUUGUGUACAUAGGGAGUAUAUUGUAUGAAGCAAUCUUAUGUUCUUUGGAUUUGUACAAUUUUGGCGUUAGUGGUUAAUCAUCAAUCUCAAUUGCUAUGGAUUUUGUUCCCUUGAGAUAACACAUUAUUUCGGUGCUAAUUUCAACAUGGAUUUCCGUUGUCUUGACUGUAUUUGGAAAAAAAUCAUUUUCGAAGUAAAAAAUUAUGUAUCUCCCUCCAAAUAGCUAAUGCAAUGUCAUUCUUUUCCGGCACAGUGAGUAUAUUAAUAUUGCACGAAGCAAUCUUAUGUUCUUCAAAUUUGCACAAUCUGGGGGGUGACUCUGUUUAAUCGUCAACUUCCAAUGGUGCAAGUUGAAAGUCUUAAUCUUUCAUUUGGUUUUCACCUUCUUGUUUUUAGUGAAAAAUUGAAACCCUUCAUUCGUCUUGCUUCUUAAUCUUAUGAAUUUCUGGGUGAGUUUCUUCUAUAAUUGCAAACUUAAGUCUUUCUCAUGUCUUGAUUUAAAAAAAAACUGUUGGGUUGUUGUAUUCAGAUGGCUCGUACCAAGCAAACUGCUCGUAAGUCUACAGGAGGAAAGGCUCCAAGGAAGCAACUUGCUACUAAGGUCUAUUUCUGUUUAGUUUAUUCUUGGUCUUCACUAAAAUAUAUUUUGUAUGCAUUAGUUUUUAAUUUUGUAUCUUAUGUGUAUUAGGCUGCACGUAAGUCUGCUCCUACCACUGGUGGUGUGAAGAAGCCACAUAGAUACCGCCCUGGAACUGUUGCUCUUCGGUAAGUGCCUUUUUUUUUUUCUUUUUAAAAAACUUAUGGUUGUCUUUGGAGUUUAUCAAUUUAAUUGCAUGCUUAAUUAGUAUUCUAUGCAUGCAGUGAAAUCCGUAAGUACCAGAAGAGUACUGAGCUCUUGAUCAGGAAGCUUCCAUUCCAGAGGCUUGUUCGUGAAAUUGCCCAGGACUUUAAGGUAGAUGUUGUGGAUUAAUUUUUUGGUUUACUGGUUCUAAAUUUAAUACUGUUGUGGUAAGGAGGAUUUAGCCUAUGUUGUUUUCUGGUGAUUGAUCAUUCUUUGUGUAUUUCUUUGUUUUUUCAGACUGAUCUGCGUUUCCAGAGUCAUGCGGUGCUGGCUCUGCAGGAGGCUGCUGAGGCCUAUCUGGUGGGUCUCUUUGAGGACACUAACCUUUGUGCCAUUCAUGCCAAGCGUGUGACAAUUAUGCCCAAGGACAUUCAGCUUGCCAGGCGAAUCAGGGGCGAGCGUGCUUAAUUGAUCAACUCUAGCUAGUAGCGUUGUUGGUCCUUGUCUGGCUUUUCUUUGUAAGACAUAAAGACAGUAAUUAAAUCUAGUAGUAGGGCACUCGUAGUUGCUUUUGUUGGUGGCCGGAGGUGUGCUGUAAUUUGUUGAUGUUUAGUUUUGUAGGAGGGGUUAAGAGCACAAUAUUUUGUUUGGAUCUCUAAUGUCACACCACUGGUGUCGAACAAUGUUCAGUACUUUCAUCUAAUGGCUAGUUUCAAGUUGUUGCGGAUAAUUGAUUAUACUGUGCUCUUCGUAAACUUAGGAUGAAUUUGUACCAUUUAAAUGGAUGGCUUGGAUAUGGGUAGUGAAAGUGUGGACUGUUUUCUGAUGCA
rnacentral:lncRNA from 1 species